rnacentral:rRNA from 1 species
ACGAACGCUGGCGGCGUGCUUAACACCUGCAAGUCGAACGGAAAGGCCCUGCUUUUGUGGGGUGCUCGAGUGGCGAACGGGUGAGUAACACGUGAGUAACCUGCCCUUGACUUUGGGAUAACUUCAGGAAACUGGGGCUAAUACCGGAUAGGAGCUCCUGCUGCAUGGUGGGGGUUGGAAAGUUUCGGCGGUUGGGGAUGGACUCGCGGCUUAUCAGCUUGUUGGUGGGGUAGUGGCUUACCAAGGCUUUGACGGGUAGCCGGCCUGAGAGGGUGACCGGCCACAUUGGGACUGAGAUACGGCCCAGACUCCUACGGGAGGCAGCAGUGGGGAAUAUUGCGCAAUGGGCGGAAGCCUGAUGCAGCAACGCCGCGUGCGGGAUGACGGCCUUCGGGUUGUAAACCGCUUUCGCCUGUGACGAAGCGUGAGUGACGGUAAUGGGUAAAGAAGCACCGGCUAACUACGUG